CAAAGGUUUGGUCCUGGCCUUUUUAUUAACUCCUAGUUAACUUACACAUGCAAAUAUCCUUAUCCCAGUGAGAAUGCCCUCUAGAUCACCAUGAUCAAAAGGAGCAGGUAUCAAGCCCACUGUUUACAGUUGCUCACAACACCUUGCUCAACCACACCCCCACGGGAUACAGCAGUGAUUAAGAUUAAGCAAUGAACGAAAGUUCGACUAAGUUAUACUACAUUAGGGUUGGUAAAUUUCGUGCCAGCCACCGCGGUCAUACGAUUAACCCUAGUUAAUAAAAUACGGCGUAAAGCGUGAUUAAAAUAUCAGACCCAAUAAGACUAAGCCUAAACUAAGCUGUAAAAAGCCCUAGUUAUAGUAAAAAUAAGUAAACGAAAGUAGUCUUAAUAUUUUUGAACUCACGAUAGCUAAGACCCAAACUGGGAUUAGAUACCCCACUAUGCUUAGCCCUAAACAUAAACACCCUACUAACAAGACCGUUCGCCAGAGUACUACUAGCCAUAGCUAAAAACUCAAAGGACUUGGCGGUGCUUUAUAUCCCUCUAGAGGAGCCUGUUCUAUAAUCGAUAAACCCCGUUACACCUCACCACCCUUAGCAAAAUAUCAGCCUAUAUACCGCCAUCUUCAGCAAACCUUAACAAAGCCCUACAGUAAGCACAAUCAUAAAACUAUAAAUACGUUAGGUCAAGGUGUAGCCUAUAGGGUGGAAAGAAAUGGGCUACAUUUUCUAUUUACUAGAACAAUCAUUCUACGAUAGCUUUCAUGAAAUUUUAAGCCCAAGGCGGAUUUAGUAGUAAGCUAGGAAUAGAGAGCCUAACUGAAUUGGGCAAUAAAGCACGCACACACCGCCCGUCACCCUCUUCAAAUUNUAUAAAUAAACAAAUACUACCUAAUCUCACCUAUUAAUAGYAUGAGAAGAGAYAAGUCGUAACAAGGUAARCAUACUGGAAAGUGUGUUUGGAAUAAU
rnacentral:ncRNA from 1 species